rnacentral:rRNA from 1 species
GCAGCUACCAUGCAAGUCGAGCGGGCGUAGCAAUACGUCAGCGGCAGACGGGUGAGUAACGCGUGGGAACGUACCUUUUGGUUCGGAACAACACAGGGAAACUUGUGCUAAUACCGGAUAAGCCCUUACGGGGAAAGAUUUAUCGCCGAAAGAUCGGCCCGCGUCUGAUUAGCUAGUUGGUAGGGUAAUGGCCUACCAAGGCGACGAUCAGUAGCUGGUCUGAGAGGAUGAUCAGCCACAUUGGGACUGAGACACGGCCCAAACUCCUACGGGAGGCAGCAGUGGGGAAUAUUGGACAAUGGGGGCAACCCUGAUCCAGCCAUGCCGCGUGAGUGAUGAAGGCCCUAGGGUUGUAAAGCUCUUUUGUGCGGGAAGAUAAUGACGGUACCGCAAGAAUAAGCCCCGGCUAACUUCGUGCCAGCAGCCGCGGUAAUACGAAGGGGGCUAGCGUUGCUCGGAAUCACUGGGCGUAAAGGGUGCGUAGGCGGGUCUUUAAGUCAGGGGUGAAAUCCUGGAGCUCAACUCCAGAACUGCCUUUGAUACUGAAGAUCUUGAGUUCGGGAGAGGUGAGUGGAACUGCGAGUGUAGAGGUGAAAUUCGUAGAUAUUCGCAAGAACACCAGUGGCGAAAGCGGCUCACUGGCCCGAUACUGACGCUGAGGCACGAAAGCGUGGGGAGCAAACAGGAUUAGAUACCCUGGUAGUCCACGCCGUAAACGAUGAAUGCCAGCCGUUAGUGGGUUUACUCCCUAGUGGCGCAGCUAACGCUUUAAGCAUUCCGCUUGGGGAGUACGGUCCCAAGAUUAAAACUCAAAGGAAUUGACGGGGGCCCCCCAAACCGGUGGAACAUGUGGUUUAAUUCCACCCACCGCGCGAAAACUUUCCAGCCCUUGAAAUUUCCAGGACCGGUGCCAAAAACGUGACCUUUUUUUCGGAACCGGGAAACACAGGUUCUUCAAGGGUUUGCCCCACCCCUGGUCUGGAAAAUUUGGGGUUAAUUCCCAAAAAAGGGAAACCCCCGCCCUUA